rnacentral:rRNA from 1 species
UACAGAGGGGGCUAGCGUUGCUCGGAAUCACUGGGCGUAAAGGGUGCGUAGGCGGGUUUUUAAGUCAGGGGUGAAAUCCUGGAGCUCAACUCCAGAACUGCCUUUGAUACUGAAGAUCUUGAGUCCGGGAGAGGUGAGUGGAACUGCGAGUGUAGAGGUGAAAUUCGUAGAUAUUCGCAAGAACACCAGUGGCGAAGGCGGCUCACUGGCCCGGUACUGACGCUGAGGCACGAAAGCGUGGGGAGCAAACAGG